UUCUUUUUUUAAAAAAAAAGAAAUCUCCCUCCCCCUCUCUCAACAUUUCCAGAAACUGGCCACACGCCGACGAGCUCUCGCGGUGGCUCCGCCGUAUCCCCGCCGUAGCGCCGCCAUGCCGGAGGGCCAAAAAUGCCCCAAACACAAAUUUUUUUUAAAAAAAAUCCAUUUUCCUAAAAUAUAUACCCGAUUUGGGUAUUUUGAAACCAAAAAACAAAAGAAAAAAAAAAGGAAGGGCCUUUCGGCCUCUGUCACUUCGGCCGCCGCCUAAGCGAAAUCCUAAUGGGUUUUUGCGGCCUCGAAAAGCAGAGGGGAACUCCCGACGGUGGUGCUAUGCCCGGCCACAGGUGUCUGACACGCGUGGAGGGCCAACGAUUGGUGACGGUGGCGGUGGCGUGCGUGAGGGAGCCUGGCAGAGCACGCAGCGCUGGGGCUGGGCAGAAGCAGGAGCGGCGGCCAGUAGCUACUAGGGUUCUCUGCUGCUGAAAAUUUUUAGUUUCCUGGGCUAGAGUUUUUUAUUUUUGGGCCUGUUGAGUGUAAUUUGGGCCAUUGUUUUUAUUUUUUACUGGGCCAGUAAAUUUGGGCUUCUACAGUAAAUAUGAAGAGUAAUCUUAGAAGUUUGUAAUUUGAUAAGUUUUAAUUUUGUAAUUUUAAAGGAUUGACACAAUCCUUUAAGAAUAUCAAUUAUAGAUAAGUUUUAUUUUUGACCGUCAA